UACUGAAAAAAAGCGCCGGGACUCCUGCGGGAGUUGACGAGGUGAGGGAGCAUCGAGGUUUCGGCGGAUGCCCUCCGGUGAGGGGCCCAGGCCGUAAGGACGGGACAAAACCUGGCAGUGAUGCCAGGGCCAAAACCCGUACCGGGGCCCGGA
rnacentral:ncRNA from 2 species